CACUCUAGAGAGACUGCCAGGGAUAACCUGGAGGAAGGUGGGGAUGACGUCAAAUCAUCAUGCCCCUUAUGCUUAGGGCUACACACGUGCUACAAUGGGUAGUACAGAGGGUUGCCAAGCCGUAAGGUGGAGCUAAUCCCUUAAAGCUACUCUCAGUUCGGAUUGUAGGCUGAAACUCGCCUACAUGAAGCUGGAGUUACUAGUAAUCGCAGAUCAGAAUGCUGCGGUGAAUGCGUUCCCGGGUCUUGUACACACCGCCCGGCACACCACGGGAGUUGGAGACGCCCGAAGCCGAUUAUCUAACCUUUUGGAAGAAGUCGUCGAAGGUGGAAUCAAUAACUGGGGUGAAGUCGUAACAAGGUAGCCGUAUCGGAAGGUGCGGCUGGAUCACCUCCU
rnacentral:rRNA from 1 species